UACGUAGGGAGCGAGCGUUGUCCGGAUUUAUUGGGCGUAAAGCGCGCGUAGGCGGUUUUGUAAGUCGGGUGUGAAAACUCCAAGCUCAACUUGGAGCCUGCAUUCGAAACUGCAAUGACUUGAGUCAGGUAGGGGAACACGGAAUUCCAGGUGUAGCGGUGAAAUGCUUAGAUAUCUGGAGGAACACCAGUGGCGAAGGCGGUGUUCUGGGCCUGUACUGACGCUAAUGCGCGAAAGCGUGGGGAGCGAACAGG
rnacentral:rRNA from 1 species